rnacentral:rRNA from 1 species
UACAGAGGUCUCGAGCGUUAGGCGGAAUCACUGGGCUUAAAGCGUGUGUAGGCGGAUCGGUAAGUACCUUGUGAAAUCCCACAGCUUAACUGUGGAACUGCUUGGUAUACUGCCAGUCUUGAGCCAGCUAGGGGCUACCGGAACAAAUGGUGGAGCGGUGAAAUGCGUAGAUAUCAUUUGGAACGCCAAUGGUGAAAACAGGUAGCUGGGGCUGUGCUGACGCUGAGACACGAAAGCCAGGGGAGCAAACAGG